ACGCCAAGUCUCCAAGAGCCACGGUCUUGUAAACCGUAGAUGCGGGUUCGAGUCCCGCUGGGCGUGCCA
rnacentral:tRNA from 4 species